GACGAACGCUGGCGGCGUGCUUAACACAUGCAAGUCGAACGGAAAGGCCCUGCUUUUGUGGGGUGCUCGAGUGGCGAACGGGUGAGUAACACGUGAGUAACCUGCCCUUGACUUUGGGAUAACUUCAGGAAACUGGGGCUAAUACCGGAUAGGAGCUCCUGCUGCAUGGUGGGGGUUGGAAAGUUUCGGCGGUUGGGGAUGGACUCGCGGCUUAUCAGCUUGUUGGUGGGGUAGUGGCUUACCAAGGCUUUGACGGGUAGCCGGCCUGAGAGGGUGACCGGCCACAUUGGGACUGAGAUACGGCCCAGACUCCUACGGGAGGCAGCAGUGGGGAAUAUUGCACAAUGGGCGGAAGCCUGAUGCAGCAACGCCGCGUGCGGGAUGACGGCCUUCGGGUUGUAAACCGCUUUCGCCUGUGACGAAGCGUGAGUGACGGUAAUGGGUAAAGAAGCACCGGCUAACUACGUGCCAGCAGCCGCGGUGAUACGUAGGGUGCGAGCGUUGUCCGGAUUUAUUGGGCGUAAGGGGCUCGUAGGUGGUUGAUCGCGUCGGAAGUGUAAUCUUGGGGCUUAACCCUGAGCGUGCUUUCGAUACGGGUUGACUUGAGGAGGGUAGGGGAGAAUGGAAUUCCUGGUGGAGCGGUGGAAUGCGCAGAUAUCAGGAGGAACACCAGUGGCGAAGGCGGUUCUCUGGGCCUUUCCUGACGCUGAGGAGCGAAAGCGUGGGGAGCGAACAGGCUUAGAUACCCUGGUAGUCCACGCUGUAAACGGUGGGUACUAGGUGUGGGGUCCAUUCCACGGGUUCCGUGCCGUAGCUAACGCUUUAAGUACCCCGCCUGGGGAGUACGGCCGCAAGGCUAAAACUCAAAGGAAUUGACGGGGCCCCGCACAAGCGGCGGAGCAUGCGGAUUAAUUCGAUGCAACGCGUAGAACCUUACCUGGGUUUGACAUGGAUCGGGAGCGCUCAGAGAUGGGUGUGCCUCUUUUGGGGUCGGUUCACAGGUGGUGCAUGGCUGUCGUCAGCUCGUGUCGUGAGAUGUUGGGUUAAGUCCCGCAACGAGCGCAACCCUUGUUCACUGUUGCCAGCACGUUAUGGUGGGGACUCAGUGGAGACCGCCGGGGUCAACUCGGAGGAAGGUGGGGAUGACGUCAAGUCAUCAUGCCCCUUAUGUCCAGGGCUUCACGCAUGCUACAAUGGCUGGUACAGAGAGUGGCGAGCCUGUGAGGGUGAGCGAAUCUCGGAAAGCCGGUCUCAGUUCGGAUUGGGGUCUGCAACUCGACCUCAUGAAGUCGGAGUCGCUAGUAAUCGCAGAUCAGCAACGCUGCGGUGAAUACGUUCCCGGG
rnacentral:rRNA from 1 species